AAGUCGUAACAAGGUAUCCGUAGGUGAACCUGCGGAUGGAUCAUUAUCAUACUAUCCAAUGUAUAAACCAAAACAAUGUGAACUGUUAUAGUUGCCUUUGAGUUAGAUCAUUAUGGGAGAAUGUGAUUCGAUCGUUAAGUGAAAGUCGAUCAUUCUCUUUAAUCUUACUCAAAGUGUAUUUUCUAUUUCACUUUAAUUAACCAAUUAAACCAAUUUAAUUAUUUUAUUCUAUGUGUGAACUGAAUUGUUUUCUUACUCUUUGAAUAAAGGAGAAGAAAAUUCAAUUUACGAAACAUAUGAACAACUCUUAGCAACGGAUAUCUUGGUUCUC
rnacentral:misc_RNA from 1 species